rnacentral:ribozyme from 1 species
GACACCAAGGAUGAUGCUAACCGAAGCGUAGAAUCCGGUCAUGGUAGACUUGAUAUCUCAUUGGACCUUGAGUCCAUGACUGGUCCCUCCGCUGCUGGCAACUCCGCUGACAAGAAUGACGAGGAGGACAAGAAGAAAAAAAAGGGAAAAAGGAAGAAAGAACAGAAAUCACCGGUGAAAGAUUUGGAAGGAGAUGUAACAGCACAGGUGGAUCGGACGAGCAAGUUGGUUGGUGC